rnacentral:rRNA from 1 species
CGCCUUGCCAGCCCGCUCAGAACUUAAAGGAAUUGACGGGGCCCGCACAAGCGGUGGAGCAUGUGGUUAAUUCGAUGAUACGCGAGGAACCUUACCUGGGCUCAAAUGUAUGUUGACGUAUUCUGAAAGGGAUACUUCUUCGGACAAUAUACAAGGUGCUGCAUGGUUGUCGUCAGCUCGUGCCGUGAGGUGUCGGGUUAAGUCCCAUAACGAGCGCAACCCCUAUCAUUAGUUGCCAUCAGGUCAAGCUGGGGACUCUAAUGAAACUGCCUACGCAAGUAGUGAGGAAGGUGGGGAUGACGUCAAAUCAGCACGGCCCUUACGUCCAGGGCUACACACGUGCUACAAUGGCCGGUACAAAGGGCAGCUACCUGGUGACAGGAUGCUAAUCUCAAAAGCCGGUCUCAGUUCGGAUCGGAGUCUGCAACCCGACUCCGUGAAGCUGGAAUCGCUAGUAAUCGUGAAUCAGAAUGUCACGGUGAAUACGUUCCCGGGCCUU